rnacentral:rRNA from 1 species
CCCUUAGAUGUUCUGGGCCGCACACGCGCUACACUGAAGGAGGCAGCGUGUACUCCUGGAUCGAAAGAUUUGGGUAACCCGCGAAUCUCCUUCGUGCUAGGGAUUGAGGUUUGCAAUUAUCCUUCAUGAACGAGGAAUUCCCAGUAAGUGCAAGUCAUAAGCUUGCGCUGACUACGUCCCUGCCCUUUGUACACACCGCCCGUCGCUACUACCGAUUGAAUGAUUUAGUGAGGACUUCGGACUGGGACCGAUGCGGCUUUCGGGCUGCGUCGGUAUUCUGGAAAGAUGUCCAAACUGUAUCAGUUAGAGGAAGUAAAAGUCGUAACA